GUCAAGCAAGGUACGGGUGUCAAGCAAGGUACGCGUGUCAAGCAAGGUACGGGUGUCAUGCAAGGAACGGGUGUCAUGCAAGGUAAGGGUGUCAAGCAAGGUACGGGUGUUAGGCAAGUAAGGUACGGGAGUCAAGCAAGGUGCGGGUGUCAAACAAGGUACGGGUGUCAAGCGAGGUACGUGUGUCAAGCAAGGUACGGGUGUUAGGCAAGGUACGUGUGUCAAGCAAGGUACGGGUGUCAAGCGAGGUACGGGUGUCAAGCAAGGUACGGGUGUUAGGCAAGGUACGGGUGUCAAGCAAGGUACGUGUGUCAAGCAAGGUACGUGUGUUAGGCAAGGUACGUGUGUCAAGCAAGGUACGGGUGUUA